rnacentral:rRNA from 1 species
AACCAGGGUUCCUCGGCACUGUUUAUCAGCCGAGGGUUAGCCGGUCCUAAGGUCAUUCUUAACCGAAAUGAUCGAAAGGGAAAUGCGUUAAUAUUCGUAUGCCUCCUAUACAUAAAAUGGUGACGGCUUGGGCAAAACUUGUGGAUCAUAUGUCAGGUCCACUUGCACUAAAUUUCUGGAGAACUGUCACAGUGAGAAGGAAAUAAAGUCCCAGGUCCCGUGAAAAGCCGUAUAGGAUGUCCGUACCGAGAACCGACACAGGUGUUUUUGGGUGAGUAGCCUAAGGCGUAUCGGAUACAAGUAUCGCGAGGGAACUCGGCAAAAUAGCUCCGUAACUUCGGGAGAAGGAGUGCCAGAUUGGGAACAAUCUGGUCGCAGUGACUAGGGAGCUCCGACUGUUUAAUAAAAACAUAGGGGACUGCCAGAUCGAAAGGUUGUGUAUAGUCCCUGAAUCCUGCUCAGUGCUGGUAUCUUAAAUCGGGUUUCAACCUGACGAAGGACCAGUAAACAGCGGGGGUAACUAUGACCCUCUUAAGGUAGCGUAAUACCUUGUCGCUUAAUUGGCGACUUGCAUGAAUGGUCCAACGAGGGCUCCACUGUCCCCGCGAUACGUCCGGCGAAAUUGACUUUACUGGCGCACAGUCCAGUACAUUCUACCCGCAAGCGAAGACCCCGUAGAGCUUUACUGCAGCCUGUCGUUGCAUAGUCGCUUUCCAUGUACUGUGUAGGUGGGAGAUGUUGAUCCCUGGGACGUCAGUCCUGGGGGGAGUCGAAAAUAGAGACACCACCCUUGGAGAGUAACUAUGCUAACUGUUUAUCAGAACACCGAUUGGUGGGCAGUUUGGGUGGGGCGCCACGCGCUCGAAAACCUAACAAGCGUGCCCAAUGGUCAGCUUAAGUGGUUCAGCACUCCACUGUUAACUGUAAGGGGAAAAGCUGGCUUGACGUGGAUCGGCACAAUAACGAUCGACGCUGCGAAAGCAGGGCCUAACGAACCUACCAGGCUUAUAUUUGAGGCCGGUAGAUAACAGAAAAGUUACCUCGGGGAUAAUUGAGUUGUCACCAGCAAGAGCUCACAUCGACCUGGUGGCUUGCUACUUCGAUGUCGUCUCUUCCUAUCCUGGGUCUGCAGCAGGACCCAAGGGUGGGGUUGUUCGCCCAUUAAAAGGGAUCGUGAGAUGGGUUUAGACCGUCGUGAGACAGGUUUGUUGCUUGGUGGUAGAAUCGUGUAAGGUGUCUGAUGGAAGAGGUCCUUUAGUACGAGAGGAACGAGGGCUUGGGGCCACUAGUUUACCAGUUGUCUGACAAGGCAAUGCUGGGUAGCCACGCCCUGAUGGAUAAGAGCUGAAAGCAUCUAAGCUCGAAGCCACCCCAAAGACGAGACACCUCAGAACACUCGUAAAAGACGAGUUUGAUAGAAUGCGGAUGAAAGCACGAAGGUUUUCCGACGUGUUCAGUCCAGCAUCACUAACGUUCGAGCAUCUUUUUUUC